AAUAAUCUUUGAUUUUUUCCUUUUUUUUUUUGAAAAAAAAAAAAAAAAAAAAGAUCCCAUGCAAAAAAAACAGCCCGUUUUUUUUGUUUUUCUUUUUCUUGUACCCCUUUGCAAAAACAACGUGGGUUUAUAAAUUGUUUGACAGC
rnacentral:ribozyme from 13 species